GAUUUUAAACUGUGGAGCACGUCAAGAGAAAGCUCACUGAUCUGCCGAGGGUUUGUGCUUUUCUGUCUUCAUGCAUCUGUUGUGGGUGAAGAGAGCAAAGAUUCUUCAUUCAAUCAAAGGCCCCCUUUGGAGAUGCUGAGAAGGAAAUUUCCUUUGGAAAUUCCCAAAGGCAGAUGAGAGUGGAGGUUGUAAAUCACCCUCCAUGCAAUGGUUCAUCAUAAAGGAUAUGGAGCAAAAUUAGAGGAGGCACGAGAAGGAAAGCCGGUGAUGAACAAGGAAAGUGCCUGGUUGAAGCUAGCUUGCAAUCCCAAAGUCAGAAGGUUGCCUGGGAAGCCAUGAAACAAAGCCAAAUCAAGGCAAAGCAGACACAUGGAGAUUUUGAGACUGAGAAGAGGAAAACUGAGGACAUUCAUGUGAGAUGGUUUCAAGUUUCCCUUAGAAGGAGAAGUUAUCUUCAGAAGGUCAGGUUGGUGAGGUGGGAGUUCAAAAACAACAAAGUAUGUAGCUACCAUUGUGAGGAAGACCAUGGAAAAUGGACGAAUCAGAAUGAAAGGCUUUCUGAACAAGAGUAAGUACCCCCACUGAUGUGGCUUG
rnacentral:lncRNA from 1 species